CUACCAGGGUUUCUAAUCCUGUUUGCUCCCCUAGCUUUCGUGCAUCAGUGUCAGGAGUUGUCCAGGGACUCGCCUUCGCCACUGGUGUUCCACUUGAUAUCUACGCAUUUCACUGCUACACCAAGUAUUCCAGUCCCCCCUCCAACCCUCGAGCAAGGUAGUUUCCAAUGCAGUUUCCGAGUUGAGCUCGGAGAUUUCACAUCCGACUUACCUCACCACCUACGCACCCUUUACGCCCAGUGAAUCCGAACAACGCUUGGGACCUCUGUAUUACCGCGGCUGCUGGCAC
rnacentral:rRNA from 1 species